rnacentral:tRNA from 1 species
GCGGCGGUGAUGUAGUGCGUAGCAUCCUGUCCGGAAAGCAAAGGGUGCGGGUUCGAGUCCCGUCUGGCGCA